CAGAUAAAAUACAGUAUAUUAAAACAUAUGAAUAAUUUUUUUAGUGUAAGUAUAUCACACGUGGAAUACUUUGGGACGUACUUAUACUAAAAAAUGAGCUGUUGUUUAUCUGAAAUGCAAAUUUAACU
rnacentral:miRNA from 1 species